GCCAAGAUCCAAAUGCUCUUCCCCACUGCACAAUAUUUCCUUGCUCUCUGGAAAUUGUGCCUUGGUCUCUGGAAUAUGGGUGGACUUGGCCCAUGUACAGGUUAGGGACAUAGGUGAAACUAAUAUGGAUGGAAAUCCUGGAGGGUGACACUGAGUCUGGGGAUUAAGUGGAUGGUUUUGAGGAAAUCAACCCUGAAAACUCUGUCAUCUGCAGUGGCUCCUGAUGGUCUAGGUUCACCAGGAGCAGAUUAAGAAAGUGAGAGAGGGGACUUGGUAAAGAUUUUUCAGGGAUGAAGAAAACGAGAUUCUCAGACAUCCAGAUCUGCAAGGCUCCAGAGUUGAUGCAUUUUCUAUUUCGGACAUAGCUCGAUCUAAAAACAGGAGUUCCCAUCCACUGAGAUGAGAUUCACCUAUUCAAUCCGUAACAACCAUGACUGGUUGCUGCUGGUGCUUCUUCAUUCCACUUACAUAGGUACCACCUCUUACGUAAGCUGCUGAAAUCUGGGGUGACCAGCUAUGUUGCAUGCAGAUAAAUGUAUCCAUCUCCCCACAACUUUAUCUGAACUGAGAAUGAAUAUCAAAAAAAUUAAAAUGCCAGUUAA